GACGAACGCUGGCGGCGUGCCUAAUACAUGCAAGUAGAACGCACAGUUUAUACCGUAGCUUGCUACACCAUAGACUGUGAGUUGCGAACGGGUGAGUAACGCGUAGGUAACCUGCCUGGUAGCGGGGGAUAACUAUUGGAAACGAUAGCUAAUACCGCAUAAUAUUAAUUAUUGCAUGAUAAUUAAUUGAAAGGUGCAAUUGCACCACUACCAGAUGGACCUGCGUUGUAUUAGCUAGUAGGUGAGGUAACGGCUCACCUAGGCGACGAUACAUAGCCGACCUGAGAGGGUGAUCGGCCACACUGGGACUGAGACACGGCCCAGACUCCUACGGGAGGCAGCAGUAGGGAAUCUUCGGCAAUAGACGAAAGUCUGACCGAGCAACGCCGCGUGAGUGAAGAAGGUUUUCGGAUCGUAAAGCUCUGUUGUAAGAGAAGAACGGGUGUGAGAGUGGAAAGUUCACACUGUGACGGUAUCUUACCAGAAAGGGACGGCUAAUUACGUG
rnacentral:rRNA from 1 species